AUUGAACGCUGGCGGCAUGCCUUACACAUGCAAGUCGAACGGUAGAGGGGCAACCCUCGAGAGUGGCGAACGGGUGAGUAAAGCAUCGGAACGUACCCAGUUGUGGGGGAUAGCCCGGCGAAAGCCGGAUUAAUACCGCAUACGCACUGAGGUGGAAAGCGGGGGACUCGCAAGGGCCUCGCGCAAUUGGAGCGGCCGAUGUCAGAUUAGGUAGUUGGUGGGGUAAAGGCCUACCAAGCCGACGAUCUGUAGCUGGUCUGAGAGGAUGACCAGCCACACUGGGACUGAGACACGGCCCAGACUCCUACGGGAGGCAGCAGUGGGGAAUUUUGGACAAUGGGCGCAAGCCUGAUCCAGCCAUGCCGCGUGCGGGAAGAAGGCCUUCGGGUUGUAAACCGCUUUUGUCAGGGAAGAAAUCUUCUGAGUGAAUACCUCGGGAGGAUGACGGUACCUGAAGAAUAAGCACCGGCUAACUACGUGCCAGCAGCCGCAGUAAUAC
rnacentral:rRNA from 1 species